UGCGAAUGGCUCAUUAAAUCAGUUAUCGUUUAUUUGAUAGUACCUUACUACUUGGAUAACCGUGGUAAUUCUAGAGCUAAUACAUGCUAAAAACCCCGACUUCGGGAGGGGUGUAUUUAUUAGAUAAAAAACCAAUGCCCUUCGGGGCUCCGUGGUGAUUCAUAAUAACUAAACGAAUCGCAUGGCCUUGUGCCGGCGAUGGUUCAUUCAAAUUUCUGCCCUAUCAACUUUCGAUGGUAGGAUAGUGGCCUACCAUGGUUUCAACGGGUAACGGGGAAUUAGGGUUCGAUUCCGGAGAGGGAGCCUGAGAAACGGCUACCACAUCCAAGGAAGGCAGCAGGCGCGCAAAUUACCCAAUCCCGACACGGGGAGGUAGUGACAAUAAAUACUGAUACAGGGCUCUUUUGGGUCUUGUAAUUGGAAUGAGUACAAUUUAAAUCCCUUAACGAGGAACAAUUGGAGGGCAAGUCUGGUGCCAGCAGCCGCGGUAAUUCCAGCUCCAAUAGCGUAUAUUAAAGUUGUUGCAGUUAAAAAGCUCGUAGUUGAACCUUGGGCCUGGCUGGCCGGUCCGCCUCACCGCGUGCACUGGUCCGGCCGGGCCUUUCCUUCUGGGGAAUCGCAUGCCCUUUACUGGGUGUGUCGGGGAACCAGGACUUUUACUUUGAAAAAAUUAGAGUGUUCAAAGCAGGCCUAUGCUCGAAUACAUUAGCAUGGAAUAAUAGAAUAGGACGUGUGGUUCUAUUUUGUUGGUUUCUAGGACCGCCGUAAUGAUUAAUAGGGAUAGUCGGGGGCAUCAGUAUUCAAUUGUCAGAGGUGAAAUUCUUGGAUUUAUUGAAGACUAACUACUGCGAAAGCAUUUGCCAAGGAUGUUUUCAUUAAUCAGUGAACGAAAGUUAGGGGAUCGAAGACGAUCAGAUACCGUCGUAGUCUUAACCAUAAACUAUGCCGACUAGGGAUCGGGCGAUGUUAUCUUUUUGACUCGCUCGGCACCUUACGAGAA
rnacentral:rRNA from 1 species